rnacentral:rRNA from 1 species
AGUGAACGCUGGCGGUAGGCCUAACACAUGCAAGUCGAACGGCAGCACAGUAAUAGCUUGCUCUUACGGGUGGCGAGUGGCGGACGGGUGAGGAAUACAUCGGAAUCUACUUUUUCGUGGGGGAUAACGUAGGGAAACUUACGCUAAUACCGCAUACGACCUACGGGUGAAAGCAGGGGAUCUUCGGACCUUGCGUGAUUGAAUGAGCCGAUGUCGGAUUAGCUAGUUGGCGGGGUAAAGGCCCACCAAGGCGACGAUCCGUAGCUGGUCUGAGAGGAUGAUCAGCCACACUGGAACUGAGACACGGUCCAGACUCCUACGGGAGGCAGCAGUGGGGAAUAUUGGACAAUGGGCGCAAGCCUGAUCCAGCCAUACCGCGUGGGUGAAGAAGGCCUUCGGGUUGUAAAGCCCUUUUGGUGGGAAAGAAAAGCAGCAGGUUAAUACCCCGCUGUUCUGACGGUACCAAAAGAAUAAGCACCGGCUAACUUCGUG